rnacentral:rRNA from 1 species
UACGGGGGGGGCAAGCGUUGUUCGGAAUUACUGGGCGUAAAGGGCUCGUAGGUGGCCCACUAAGUCAUACGUGAAAUCCCUCGGCUUAACCGGGGAACUGCGUCUGAUACUGGAUGGCUUGAGGUUGGGAGAGGGAUGCGGAAUUCCAGGUGUAGCGGUGAAAUGCGUAGAUAUCGGGAGGAACACCGGUGGCGAAGGCGGUUCUCUGGGCCUUACCUGACGCUGAGGAACGAAAGCUAGGGGAGCAAACGGG